AUCGCUUCUCGGCCUUUUGGCUAAGAUCAAGAAAAAAAUCUGUUCUUAUCAGUUUAAUAUCUGAUACGGACCAUAUCCGGGGACUACAUAUUAAAUUGAUUUUUGGGUCACGGAGCUGGAGCCGGGGCUUGCUCUGUCCACUCCACGCAUCGGCCUGGUAUUGCAGUGUCUCCAGGAGCGGUGUGCUUCCC
rnacentral:snRNA from 1 species